rnacentral:sRNA from 1 species
GGAUAAAUGAGACUGUUUUAUCAUGAGUUAGCGCACGGCUCAUCACAUGAGCCAUUCCCCUAUACCCGGAACAAUCUGGAUUGGUUCCGGGUUUUUUUUA